CUGCUGUGAUGAUGGAUUCCAAAACCAUUCGUAGUUUCCACUAGAAGUCUUAAGACGCGUGUUGGCUAAUUCCUUCCUUGGAUGUCUGAGCGA
ensembl:snoRNA SNORD14 Small nucleolar RNA SNORD14